CCGGUUCCNGAAGAAUAAGGCACCGGCUAACUACGUGCCACGCAGCCGCGGUAAUACGUACAGGUGCAAGCGUUAAUCNAGAUAGUUACUGGGCGUAAACGCGUCGCAGGCGGUUNUGCAAAGACNGAUGUCGAAAUCCCCGGGCUNAACACUGUGGCACACUGCAUUUGUGACUGCANGGCUAGAGUGCGGNANAGGGGGAUGGAAUUCCNCGUGUAGCAGUGAAAUGCGUAGAUAUGCGGAGGAACACCGAUGGCGAAGGCAAUCCCCUGGACNUGNACUGACGCUCAUGCACGAAAGCGUGGGGAGCAAACAGGAUUAGAUACCCUGGUAGUCCACGCCCUAAACGAUGUCAACUGGUGUGUUGGGCAGUCAUUNCUCUCAGUAACGNAGCUAACGCGUGAANUUGACCNCCUGGAGAGUACGGNCGCAAGGUCUNAAACUCUGAUG
rnacentral:rRNA from 1 species